CGCCUCAGGUACGGCCCAGGUUGGGAGGGUGCUUCGGUAACUUCCGGGCGAGACCUGCGCAUUUCCGGUCAAGAUGGCGGCGCCCACCAGAGUCAGGUGUGGGCGACUCUGUCUUUAGUAGCGGCGGCGACUCGAGGCCCGGGGAAGACCCUCAGGAGUCGACCCGUCAGGACGCCAGAGGUACCUCAGCGGUGAUCACCCCCUACCCCAAACACAUCCUUCCCUUCACAAACAGCCCAUGGCGGACCAAGGCUCGGGGGGCAGCCGCCUCCCCCUGGCGCUGCCCUCAGCCUCCCAGGGUUGCUCAUCAGGGGGCGGCGGCUCGUCGGUGGGGAACUCGGGCCGUCCUCCGCCCCCGAGAAACCUCCAAGGCCUGCUGCAGAUGGCUAUCACGGCGGGCUCCGAGGAACCAGACCCCCCUCCAGAACCCAUGAGUGAGGAGAGGCGGCAGUGGCUGCAGGAGGCUAUGUCAGCUGCCUUCCGGGGCCAGCAGGAGGAAGUGGAGCAGAUGAAGAACUGCCUUCGAGUACUGUCCCAGCCUACACCCUCCUUGGCUGCUGAGGCUGACCUGGCCGCUGACCAGCAGGAGCGCGAGGGGGCCCUGGAGCUGCUGGCCGACCUGUGUGAAAACAUGGACAAUGCUGCAGACUUCUGCCAACUGUCAGGCAUGCACCUGCUGGUGGGCCGGUACCUGGAGGCGGGGCCCGCAGGGCUGCGGUGGCGGGCGGCGCAGCUCAUCGGCACAUGCAGCCAGAACGUGGCGGCCAUCCAGGAGCAGGUGCUGGGCCUGGGCGCCCUGCGCAAGUUGCUGCGGCUGCUUGACCGGGACGCCUGCGACUUGGUGCGCGUGAAGGCUCUCUUCGCCAUCUCCUGCCUGGUCCGGGAGCAGGAGGCUGGGCUGCUGCAGUUCCUUCGCCUGGAUGGCUUCUCCGUCUUAAUGCGGGCCAUGCAGCAGCAGGUGCAAAAGCUCAAGGUCAAGUCAGCGUUCCUGCUGCAGAACCUGCUCGUGGGCCACCCCGAACACAAAGGGACCCUGUGCUCCAUGGGGAUGGUCCAGCAGCUCGUGGCCCUGAUCCGGACAGAACACAGCCCCUUCCAUGAGCAUGUGCUUGGAGCCCUGUGCAGCCUGGUGACAGACUUCCCCCAGGGCGUGCGGGAGUGCCGGGAGCCUGAGCUGGGCCUGGAGGAGCUCCUCCGUCAUCGCUGCCGGCUGCUGCAGCAGCACGAGGAGUACCAGGUCCUGUGGUCAUGUGGUUCAAAAUUCAAGAUGCAUAGGAGGGUCAACAGUGAUGAGUCUCCCUGCUGCCCCCGUCCCUAACCACCCAGUACCUCCCCCAGUUCCGUGCGUGGCCUUCCCAAGAUAGUCUGGGCACACAGGCAAAUGAGGAGCUGGAGUUCUGCGAGAAGCUGCUACAGACCUGUUUCUCCAGCCCGACGGAUGACAGCAUGGAUCGGUGAAACCUGGUGGCUUAUCACCCCCUCUCCGUGGGAAGCCCGGGCGUCCUGCCUCCCAAGGGAGAGCAGGGCCUUGAUGGUGCGCGGCCAGGGCGUGCCAGCCCGUCUCUGCUCAGCCCCUGCCGGGGGCGCUGAGGAAGGCGCCGGCUCCCUGGACCCCACCCCUCACGCUCUCGCUGCGUUCCCCCUUCUGCGUCCACACUGCUCUUCUAAUAAAGGUGUUUCUCCUUCGA